GAUGGGUAGGGGUCCUGAGAGGGAGAUCCCCCCACACUGGUACUGAGACACGGACCAGACUCCUACGGGUAGGCAGCAGUGAGGAAUAUUGGACAAUGGGCGCAAGCCUGAUCCAGCCAUGCCGCGUGCAGGAUGACGGUCCUAUGGAUUGUAAACUGCUUUUAAUACAGGAAGAAACCCUGGUUCGUGAACCAGCUUGACGGUACUGUAAGAAUAAGGAUCGGCUAACUCCGUGCCAGCAGCCGCGGUAAUACGGAGGAUUCCAAGCGUUAUCCGGAAUCAUUGGGUUUAAAGGGUCCGUAGGCGGUUUAAUAAGUCAGUGGUGAAAGCCCAUCGCUCAACGGUGGAACGGCCAUUGAUACUGUUAAACUUGAAUUAUUAGGAAGUAACUAGAAUAUGUAGUGUAGCGGUGAAAUGCUUAGAGAUUACAUGGAAUACCAAUUGCGAAGGCAGGUUACUACUAAUAUAUUGACGCUGAUGGACGAAAGCGUGGGUAGCGAACAGGAUUAGAUACCCUGGUAGUCCACGCCGUAAACGAUGGCAUACUAGCUGUUGGGAGCAAUCUCAGUGGCUAAGCGAAAGUGAUAAGUAUCCCACCUGGGGAGUACGUUCGCAAGAAUGAAACUCAAAGGAAUUGACGGGGGCCCGCACAAGCGGUGGAGCAUGUGGUUUAAUUCGAUGAUACGCGAGGAACCUUACCAAGGCUUAAAUGUAGUUUGACCGAUUUGGAAACAGAUUUUUUGGCAAGACAAAUUACAAGGUGCUGCAUGGUUGUCGUCAGCUCGUGCCGUGGAGAUGUCAGGUUAAGUCCUAUAACGAGCGCAACCCC
rnacentral:rRNA from 1 species